rnacentral:lncRNA from 1 species
CUGCCAUCUGUGGUGGCCUAGAGAAAAUGAAAAUGACAGGGUUCCAGAAUUUUUGAGGCCACGUGGUGGCACCUUGGACAUAACCAAUAGGCAGCAAGGCUAGAGUAGCAACAAAAAAGGCCUGACUCACUGGGAUUUGUGCUGGGGUUUUAUUCCUGGUUCUGGCUGUUUUCCCAGACCUCACCCAGGAGAAUAAGAGGAGCUCUGCUUGGAUCCUGCUAUUACAGAAUUGUCAAAAGGAACAUUCCUCCAACCGCUUACAUUUUGUAGUAUAUUUGAGCAAAACAACACGAUUCCCAAAUCAGCCACUCCAACCAAGGAUGUGAUCUGACAGCACUUAUUCAAAAACAGAGGGUCUUGCUAUGUAGUCCAGGCUGGGCUUUAACUUGUGAUUCUCCUGCGUUAGCCUCCUGAGGCUCCAAAACUGAUUGUAUG